CCUACGGGAGGCAGCAGUGAGGAAUAUUGGUCAAUGGGCGGAAGCCUGAACCAGCCAAGUAGCGUGCAGGAUGACGGCCCUACGGGUUGUAAACUGCUUUUAUACGGGAAUAACGCGCCUUACGUGUAGGGCUUUGCAUGUACCGUAUGAAUAAGGACCGGCUAAUUCCGUGCCAGCAGCCGCGGUAAUACGGGGGGUGCAAGCGUUGUCCGGAAUCAUUGGGCGUAAAGAGUUCGUAGGCGGCACGUAAAGUCUGGUGUUAAAGGCAGAGGCUCAACUUCUGUACGGCACUGGAUACUUGCGAGCUAGAAUGCGGUAGAGGUAAAGGGAAUUCCUGGUGUAGCGGUGAAAUGCUUAGAUAUCAGGAGGAACAUCGGUGGCGUAAGCGCUUUACUGGGCCGUAAUUGACGCUGAGGAACGAAAGCCAGGGUAGCAAAUGGGAUUAGAUACCCGAGUAGUC
rnacentral:rRNA from 1 species